CUCUCUGUAGCUCAGUUGGUUAGAGCGCUGCACUGGAAUCGCAGGGCCACACGUUCGAUUCCAGGGUGU